CUCUCUCCCGCUUCCGCUUCUGCCUCGCUCCCUCUUCCGCUUCCGCCUCGCCCUUGCUCCCGCUUCCGCUUCCGCUUCCACGGUUCUCUCCCACUUCCGUCUCGCUCCGCCUUCUUCGCCGCAGGUCCUGUGACCUCCCCACACGGAUUCGCUCCGAUUAUUUGGGCUCGCCGCCGUCUUCCUCCUCUAAAGCUCCGUCGCUUCGAUUAGAUUAAACAUCAACCCUACCUUAUAAAUACCGACCGCGCUGCCUUAUUGCCUUCCCAAAUCUCUCAAAUUUUCUCUCGGGGCCUAGCGUUUGUACUCUCGUUUCAAGAAACGCAGCAUUGUUCAUCGAUCUCGACUAAAAGCAGAAGGAACUAGAGCUAUGGGGAAGAGAAAGUCUCGGGCAAAGCCACCUCCUAAGAAAAGGAUGGACAGACUUGAUACAGUCUUCAGCUGCCCUUUCUACAACCAUUAA